CACAGCAGACAUAGACCUUAGUAAUCACAGGAAAACCUUUGUUAUGAUAAUCAGGGCUUCAUGUAAGUUCCCUGAACAACAGCUUUCAUAUUAAAUAACAAAAUCAAGAUGGCAAUUUCUUACAAUAGCAUUUUGUAUUUUCAAGACUUGGACCAGCCUCCAACUAGGCAUUCAUAAAGGAACUGAAAUCUUGAAAGAAAAAAAAGAGCCAACACAAGUCAUACUGUAAGUGAAAAGAAUACCAGUGAUUGCUUUUGUGCACUGAACCCAUUAUAUCUGACUGAACUUUGUUAUAUGCAUUAUAAACAUUUGAGCCCAAUGAAUGUUAAAACAACUGUUACAGUUCUCAUUAAGUGCUGCUAGGAACAGACUCUUGUUGCAGUAGAAACUUGACUGUUUUUUCCUUUGUGCCAUUGAAAAGCAGCGCACAGCCUUUUUAUUUAGAAACGAGCCACCUGCAGGCUUUAUCUGAAGUGAAGCAGGCUGUUUGCCAUUAUUAUGUUGAAUGGACUAUUUCUACAGACGUGCUGUCAUGUUAAAAUCAAAGAAAAUGAUACUUUAAGAAGUGUGUACAAAUUCCCACGCACAAUACAGGUACGGGAUCCAUUAUCCAGAAACCCAUUAUCCAAAAAGCUAUAAAAGGCCCUCUCCCAUAGACUCCAUUUUAUUCAAAUAAUCCAAAAUGGGGGGUGUCAGGAGCGCUCCGUUGGUGCUCCCGUCUCCGGCGGUGUCCAAAUCAAGAUGGCGGCAUCUAUGAUCUACGUGGGCUGACGCCGGCGCGAACUUUGAAAUAAAAGGACUUCCAGGUCACAGGUUCGAUGCCCGAAUAUAGGAAUUGCGAUAUCAUGUUCCUGGGUUCCUAAAUUCCUGAAUUCUUGCUUCCUGACUUUCUGACCUUGGCUUGACCCUGAUUCUGAUUCCUGCUGCCUGCCUUGCUGAACAUUUGCCUGAACUUGACUACGCUUAUGUCUGACCCCUUCUGGAUACCGCAAACUUGGACUUUGACCCUAAGCUUCCUCCUUGGUCCUGACUGCUCCCGCUAGGAGCCGAUAGGCCCCCUGACAGGGGGUUACUGAUUGUUUUUUUUGUUCACAUUUUGGUCCGCGGCUGCCUAAGAUAGCAAGUCUGAAGCCAUCCCAUAUCAUUCUCCACACGUAGGGCAAGGUCAGACAUGGCGUUUUUACUUUGCGUUUUUAAAAAAGCUCCGUUGGGCGUAAAUACGCCUCUGAAACCACACGAUGACUGUCAACAUGCAUUUUCACCACGUAGGUUUCUUUUCUCAACAUGUACUUUUCAUUGUUCUCGUUCCCCAUAAUUCCACUGGUUGGAAAUAGAAAAACUAUUUAGAAAUAUUUGCUAGAGGGGAAAAACAAAUUCCUAAAAAGGUAUUCAACCUUUUCUUGCAGUUGUAUUUGUCAGAAAAAGCAGUUCAGGAACUUCACACUACAAAAAGCCCUUUUCACGUAUUAAGUGAAACCAUGGGUGGUCUCGCUUCUGCUAUAAGGAUCUACUUGUGAGAGUUUUGGUGGCAUGUAUGCCUUGUAUAUUUAUAUAUAAUCAUAUUCUGUAGUGUAAGCAAUCUCAUCUUGGACAGCCUUUCCUUAAAAGGACCUUCCAUAACCUUUAUCAGCUUACUCACUCUUCAUUGUACUCAGUCUCAAGAGUAUCCUGUCUAAAGACCAAAACUGCACUGCAUAUUCUGUGUUAGGCCUUAACAAGGAGAAUGAAGUCCUUCUCUGUCAAGGAUUGAUUGAAAAAUUUGCAGCUCAUUUAAAUGUACACCUGCCACUUUAAUAAUUAUGCCAACAGACGGUCUCCCUAAUUUUUGGCUCCAGGCAGAUGUGUUUUUUUAUGGACCACCGUCCCUCCAAUUGUAUACUAUCGGCACAUCCUUAAAUGUGUCAAUAAAGUAAGGCUGGUUAUACAUAGGACAGGGUGGGCAUUAGUCUUAAGCCUAAAGACUCAGAGGGAGACUGUGGUUCUCAAAAUAAAUAGCAAAUUAUAUACUAUUACACUCUGCAAUAGCUGAUGUAUAUUGUGUGCAUUAUACUGCAAGGAUGUGUCAAGCAGCUAAAACACAGUUUCUUAACAUGCAUAUUAAAUAAAAGAAAGAAACCUCUGGUA